ACCUGUUGUUUACUAACUAAAUGGGCACCAACGAAAUCUCAUUAGAACAGAAAGUCCAGGCUCUCGAGUUCAAAGUCCCCUCAUCUCUGGUCUCCUUGGAGGGAGAGAUUGCCGAGCCCCAGGAGAUGGUUUUGAAGGAGCCAGAAGGGGAAGCUGGAGUGGAAGCAGGCCACUGCAAUGGGACUGGAUGCAGAUCAGCUAGGAGACCCCUGGAAUGCAUUAUUUGUCUUCUCACUUUUACAAUACAGGCUUCUAAGGCACGUCUGGGAUGCCCAAAACGUUGACGGGACAGUUGGUCUACCAAGAAUGUGUUCUUCUGCAACUGACUGCAUUCUACCUGUAACCAGAAGUCCCUUUGGAGUCAACUUUUAAGAGUUUGGGGCAGUUAUGUCCUUCCAACCUCAGAGCUUUAAGGAGAUCUUCACCUAUCUUUCCAGGAGCUUCAGGCAAAGCAAGAAGGUAGCCAUCUGCAAGCCAGGAAGAGGGCUCUUACCAGAAACCAAAUCAGCCGUCACCUUAAUCUUCGGUUUCCCAGCUUCCAGAACUGAAGAAUUUGCUCCUAGAAGUUUUUCCAUGAGAACUGGAGACUAAUUUCUUUGAAUUUUUUCCCUGUAUCUUCCCCAACAGAAGCUGUAUAUUUUGAGAAUAACUACCUGGUUACAAGCACAAUAGGCCUAAAUAAACAUAAAUAAUUUCUAAUGAAUGGGGGGCAUUUCAGGUAUGAUUUUAGACUUUACAGCAUCAAAUUGAUGGGGCCAAGAAUGCCACCAGUGUCCUAUAGUUCAAAUCUCAAGUUUUAUCCAUGGAUGCAUAUGUCUCGUAAUGAUAGUCCCUUCUUCUCUAAGAAACUAAACAGUUAAGUGCAGCUGGGUGAUCUAAACAAGGGCCAGAGAAGAAAUUUUGCAGUUUUUGAAUGGAUUUGGGGGUUACCAUUAAACACUAUAUAGACUCAUGUUAUCAAUUAUGUGAAAGUAUCUACAAUUAUUCAGAAGGUAGCAUGCAUGUUUGCUAAAAAAAUGGAUCUUCCUCCUACGUCUCUUUGUGCAUUGUUUUUUGAUUCUGAUAAAGCAGUAGAGCUAUUCAUUCCACAAACUUUUAUUAUGUACCUACUGUGUGUCUGGCAUAAUGGCAGGUGCUGUUGAUACCCA